CUACUCCUACGGGAGGCAGCAGUAGGGAAUCUUCCGCAAUGGACGAAAGUCUGACGGAGCAACGCCGCGUGAGUGAAGAAGGUUUUCGGAUCGUAAAACUCUGUUGUUAGGGAAGAACAAGUGCCGUUCGAAUAGGGCGGCGCCUUGACGGUACCUAACCAGAAAGCCACGGCUAACUACGUGCCAGCAGCCGCGGUAAUACGUAGGUGGCAAGCGUUGUCCGGAAUUAUUGGGCGUAAAGCGCGCGCAGGUGGUUUCUUAAGUCUGAUGUGAAAGCCCACGGCUCAACCGUGGAGGGUCAUUGGAAACUGGGGAACUUGAGUGCAGAAGAGGAAAGUGGAAUUCCAAGUGUAGCGGUGAAAUGCGUAGAUAUUUGGAGGAACACCAGUGGCGAAGGCGACUUUCUGGUCUGUAACUGACACUGAGCGCGAAAGCUAAAGCGCUUUC
rnacentral:rRNA from 1 species